rnacentral:rRNA from 1 species
AGAGUUUGAUCCUGGCUCAGAUUGAACGCUGGCGGCAGGCCUAACACAUGCAAGUCGAGCGGCAGCGGGAAAGUAGCUUGCUACUUUUGCCGGCGAGCGGCGGACGGGUGAGUAAUGCCUGGGGAUCUGCCCAGUCGAGGGGGAUAACUACUGGAAACGGUAGCUAAUACCGCAUACGCCCUACGGGGGAAAGCAGGGGACCUUCGGGCCUUGCGCGAUUGGAUGAACCYAGGUGGGAUUAGCUAGUUGGUGAGGUAAUGGCUCACCAAGGCGACGAUCCCUAGCUGGUCUGAGAGGAUGAUCAGCCACACUGGAACUGAGACACGGUCCAGACUCCUACGGGAGGCAGCAGUGGGGAAUAUUGCACAAUGGGGGAAACCCUGAUGCAGCCAUGCCGCGUGUGUGAAGAAGGCCUUCGGGUUGUAAAGCACUUUCAGCGAGGAGGAAAGGUUGGUAGCUAAUAACUGCCAGCUGUGACGUACUCGCAGAAGA